GACCUGAUGUGGUAUAGUGGCCAGUGUGUUGGUCUAGGACCUACGAGAUGGGGGUUCAAAUCCCCCCACAGUCA